rnacentral:piRNA from 1 species
UUUCCCAAAAAUGUAUGAAUU